rnacentral:misc_RNA from 1 species
UACCUCUCAACCCCCUUCUUGGCAACAGGAAGCGUUUUCAGGGUUGGAUCAUGACGGCCUUGUCUCUUUUCGUUAAGCAGACUCCGUUGAAAUACAACAAGCUUGACGUUGCCCGUCCAAAGCGAGCUUGACCCGUUGUCAUACGUUGUUUACAACAUUCUUCAAUGGGGAUCGCUUUAUUACAGUGACGGGUCGAAUUUAUCAGCUUACCACAAAUUGGCGCCCUUUGGGCCCACUUUCUAC